rnacentral:rRNA from 1 species
GACGUAGGGCGCGAGCGUUGUCCGGAUUUAUUGGGCGUAAAGAGCUCGUAGGCGGCUUGUCGCGUCGUCCGUGAAAACUUGGGGCUCAACCCCAAGCUUGCGGUCGAUACGGGCAGGCUAGAGUUCGGCAGGGGAGACUGGAAUUCCUGGUGUAGCGGUGAAAUGCGCAGAUAUCAGGAGGAACACCGGUGGCGAAGGCGGGUCUCUGGGCCGAUACUGACGCUGAGGAGCGAAAGCGUGGGGAGCGAACAGG